rnacentral:rRNA from 1 species
UACGUAGGGUGCAAGCGUUGUCCGGAAUUAUUGGGCGUAAAGAGCUUGUAGGCGGUUUGUCGCGUCUGCUGUGAAAUUUCGGGGCUCAACCCCGAACUUGCAGUGGGUACGGGCAGACUAGAGUGUGGUAGGGGAGACUGGAAUUCCUGGUGUAGCGGUGAAAUGCGCAGAUAUCAGGAGGAACACCGGUGGCGAAGGCGGCUCUCUGGACCGAGACUGACGCUGAGGCGCGAAAGUGUGGGGAGCGAACAGG